CGCGUAGGCGGCCCCGCAAGCGUGUGGUGAAAGCCCGGGGCUCAACCCCGGGUCGGCCGUGCGGACUGCGGGGCUCGAGCACUGUAGGGGCGGGUGGAAUUCCGGGUGUAGCGGUGGAAUGCGUAGAGAUCCGGAAGAACACCGGUGGCGAAGGCGGCCCGCUGGGCAGGAAGACCCCUUACGGGGUCGGCUGACGCUGAGGCGCGACAGCGUGGGGAGCAAACAGGAUUAGAUACCCUGGUAGUCCACGCCGUAAACGAUGGGCACUAGGUGCCUGGGGGAGCGACCCCCUGGGUGCCGGCGCUAACGCAUUAAGUGCCCCGCCUGGGGAGUACGGCCGCAAGGCUGAA
rnacentral:rRNA from 1 species